GAUGUCUGCACCCCGCACAUCUACUAUAGAGCGAUAUAUUUAUAAGAAAUCUCUUGCUCCAUAAAUAUAAAUAAACAUAUAUGCAUCUAAUGACGUACAUAAUCAAACUAGUGUACUAUUUUUCUGGUCCACAUGCACACAGCACACCGCAAUUUACAAAUUCUACUACCGACCACACGAACGGGUGCAAGACGAUGCUCUUCUCAUUUCGUCUUAGUAGACUCCUUAGCGUUCCUCUCGCGUUCCAACAUUUCAAACAGGCUGCCAUCGUAGACAGCCCUGACAGUGUCCUUGUGAAGAAACCCUUUUUCAUCUUUGCAGAGGGAGUAAAGCAUCUUCCACUCUGUGAAACCACCCAGCCUGCAGUAAAUUUUCCCAAACAUACUGAGCUCAAAGACAUACCUUCCUGCAAGUCAUAUAUAUAUACUGUUCUAGCUCCUGAAGAGAGUGUUGGUUACCAUCCUUUGAAGUCAUUAGGCU
rnacentral:misc_RNA from 1 species